UACGUAGGUGGCGAGCGUUGUCCGGAUUUACUGGGCGUAAAGAGCGCGCAGGCGGUCGAUUUAGUCGGAUGUGAAAGCCCCCGGCUCAACUGGGGAGGGUCAUUCGAUACUGAUCGACUCGAAGGCAGGAGAGGGAAGCGGAAUUCCCGGUGUAGUGGUGAAAUGCGUAGAUAUCGGGAGGAACACCAGUGGCGAAGGCGGCUUCCUGGCCUGUUCUUGACGCUGAGGCGCGAAAGCUAGGGGAGCAAACGGG
rnacentral:rRNA from 1 species